UCAAAGAUUGUACCAUGUUGCUAAUGUUGGAGGCAUUUAUGCCAUCUAAUUUUAGCACUCGAAGACGAUGCAUACUUUUGAUGCCUGGAAUGGAGAACUAUCUAGGGUAAUAUUCAUUAACAUUGAUUAUUGAGAAAAUGCAAAGUUAAAAUGUUUAAGUAUCUACGAUGAAAUGCAAUAAACGACAAACUAGUGAAGCGGGGACGAGCCAGGAGCAAAAUAACACGAAUACUUCCGCUCAUAUAUAAUAAGAGUGAAGUAAAGAAAGAAAAGGAAAUAAUAAUGAAUGAGGAUAAAGUACGAAUUGAGGUGAUAUACCAUAAAUGGUACCCGAGUUUCCAAAUUGAUUGUAACUUAGGUCGAGCUCCUUCAGAUUGAUAAAAUCAUUUAGAUCUAUUGAAAAAGACAAGUAAAUAUAUUAAGAGGUCAUAAAAAUAUAGUCUUCUUUUGACCUAAAAACAAUAUAUCACACUUGUAAAAGGAGACUUACUUAGCAUCGACAGAAUGUCGCCGUUGCUCAUAUCAUCGUUACCCUUGAAAUCAAGAACUUCCAGCUUGGUUAAUCCGAAGAGCCUUUCACUGCCUAGACAAUUAUUUCUCUUAAAAAAUAAUAUUAUGUUUCGUCAAGCUAAUAAAAAUAGAAAUAAUGCCCAGAGGAAAUCAAUGUUGACUAAGAGUACGCACACAAGCAUAAUGGUCGGGAAAUAAAAAAAUAAUAUUAUACUUCUGUAACAAGUUGUGUUACAAUAUUAAAUGAAAAUAAAUUAAAAAAAAAAUUCUUAUUUAUUGUAUAUGUCUUGUACCAGAAUUUCCCUUAAUCUUUUACAUUUGAAUUACUUGGGUUGAUUAGAACUAUUAAUAUAUCAAUGACAUUAACAUAUACGUUUGGUAAUGCUAACCGUAUUAGGAAGGGGAAAAUGACAAAUGUUUUGAUCUAAUAGGAAAGCAACUAGCAUAAUUUUCGAAGUGGCUAUUCUUAGAUAAUCAAAUGAUCUAUCAAAGAACCAGCAGAAUACAAAGUAUAUUGAACUUAUUGUUGCUGAAUUUUUUUCUCAUUAAAUAGUUGUAUCGAAAGCCCAUAUACUUUAGAGAAGAAAGCUGACUAAAAGAUGACAAAAUUUUGCGAUCAAAUGAAUUGGAACUUAGAUCAAGGGCCUCCAAAUUUCUCAACUUCGACAAUCUAUCAAUACCUGCAACAAAAUUCUAUAUAUCUAUAAUAUCACUCAAAGGAAAAACUUAGGCAACUGAAGAACAGAGGAAUAAUAAAAUUUAAUCAAUUGGCUGGCCACUUAAGUAGGGAUUUCAUUGCACCUUCAUUCUCAACCCAUCCUACUAACU
rnacentral:lncRNA from 1 species